AAAACAUUGUCUUACCUGAUUAACUAUGUAAGAUAUCGCCUGCCCACUGCUUUGUAAACGGCCGCGGUACUUUGACCGUGCUAAGGUAGCAUAAUCAGUUGUCUCUUAAUUGGAGUCUAGUAUGAAUGGCUGCACGGGGAGAAGCUGUCUCUAUAGGGAUAUAUUGAAUUUACUGUAUAGGUGAAAAAGCCUAUAAAAGUUUUUAAGACGAGAAGACCCCAGGAGCUUACUUAAAAUUUUAGCUGGGGCGGCCAAGGGGCACUAACAAGCCCCCUUAUACUAAUUGAAUAACAAGAAUAAAUAGGUUUGAAAAAGCUACCCUGGGGAUAACAGCAUAAUUUGAAGCAAGUUUGUGACCUCGAUGUUGGACUAGGGAAUUCACGAGCGAGCUGUUCGUGUUUAUUGUUCUGUUCGAACCUUGAGCCCCUACGUGAUCU
rnacentral:rRNA from 1 species